rnacentral:rRNA from 1 species
AUUGAACGCUGGCGGCAUGCCUUACACAUGCAAGUCGAACGGCAGCGGACCUUCGGGUGCCGGCGAGUGGCGAACGGGUGAGUAAUAUAUCGGAACGUACCUUUCAGUGGGGGAUAACGUAGCGAAAGUUACGCUAAUACCGCAUAUUCUGUGAGCAGGAAAGCAGGGGAUCGCAAGACCUUGCGCUGAUUGAGCGGCCGAUAUCAGAUUAGCUAGUUGGUGAGGUAAAGGCCCACCAAGGCGACGAUCUGUAGCGGGUCUGAGAGGAUGAUCCGCCACACUGGAACUGAGACACGGUCCAGACUCCUACGGGAGGCAGCAGUGGGGAAUUUUGGACAAUGGGCGCAAGCCUGAUCCAGCCAUGCCGCGUGAGUGAAGAAGGCCUCGGUUGU